rnacentral:snoRNA from 1 species
GCACUGCGCUGCUUUUGCUCAUGGCCAGUGCAGAAGUUGAAGAGUCACAUUGU